AAAAUAACCUGGCUUUGUGGUGGGAGCCUGUAGUCUCAGCUACUCGGGAGGCUGAGGCAAGAGAAUCGCCUAAGCCCAGGAAUUGGAGGUUGCUGUGAGCAGUGUGAUGCCACAGCAUUCUACCAAGGGCGAUAAAGUGAGACUCUGUCUCUACAAAAAAAAAAUAAUAAUAAUAAUAAAAAUAAAGAGAAAAGGAGAUGAAGCAGGGGUAGGUAAGGAGCUACAUUACCUGGAAAUGAAAACCUCGAGAGCUGUAGGUAUAAUAAGUAAUAUGCAGGCAGAGGGAAUUCACAAUGUCUAUUGUUCCAUUAGCUUAUCUUGCCGAAAAUGUAUAUUUACCUUCCAGAUUUUGGCACCAAGAUGUCAUGUAUGGGGACCAGAUGUCAGGAGUGAGCUUGUUCCUGAAGGCUACCAGGCUGGCUCUCUUCAGCACUGACAUUUACACCAACAUAUUGGUGAGGAGGACGGGAUGGUGCUGCAGCUGUCAAGAUAAGGAGAGUUUCCAGACUCCAGGCUGGGGGAUGGCCACCCCUGCUGGGACGCCUUGAUCUGCUCUUUGCUGUAGCCGCUUGAGAUAAAAAUAUUAAACUCAGCAGUGUCACCUAUGAAGAAACAACGGCAGAGAAACCUGAUGGAAUUUUGAGUGAACAAAUCAGCC